GGACCCGCACAAGCAGCGGAGCAUGGGGUUUAAUUCGAAGCAACGCGAAAAACCUUACCAGAACUUGACAUCUAGUGACGAACCUUGUAAUGAGGUUUUCCCUUCGGGGCACGAAGACAGGUGUUGCAUGGUUGUCGUCAGCUCGUGUCGUGAGAUGUUAGGUUAAGUCCUGCAACGAGCGCAACCCUCGUGUACAGUUGCCAAUAUUAAGUUAGGAACUCUGUACAGACCGCCGUGGUUAACACGGAGGAAGGUGGGGAUGACGUCAAAUCAUCACGGCCCUUACGUUCUGGGCCACACCCGUGCUACAAUGGCUAUUACAAAGAGCAGCGAAACGGUAACGUGGAGCGAAUCUCAUAAAGAUAGUCUCAGUUCAGAUUGUGGGCUGCAACUCGCCCACAUGAAGUAGGAGUUGCUAGUAAUCCCGAAUCAGCAUGUCGGGGUGAAUGCGUUCCCGGGUCUU
rnacentral:rRNA from 1 species